rnacentral:ncRNA from 1 species
AAUCAAUUCAGAACUGGCACGGACUUGGAGAAUCCGACUGUCUAAUUAAAACAAAGCAUUGUGAUGGCCCUAACGGGUGUUGACACAAUGUGAUUUCUGCCCAGUGCUCUGAAUGUCAAAGUGAAGAAAUUCAAGUAAGCGCGGGUAAACGGCGGGAGUAACUAUGACUCUCUUAACUCUCGAGCUGAACGGACGUGUUAGCGGAUAGUUACGGGAAAUUAAAAAAAAUAAAAAAAAAUAAAAGAAUUUCAUUA